CCUAGAGGUUUUUCUUAGAGUUACCCCCCUUGUCUUGGUUAUUUUUCGAGGGCGCUAAAAGUGACCAAGAAGAGCCGAAGAUAGAGAAACGUGACACGAAUUUGUACAAUUAAGGUGUUCAUACAACUUGAAAAACAACAUGUCUGGAAGAGAAGGUGGAAAGAAAAAACCUUUAAAAGCACCCAAGAAACAGAAGGCAGAUGACGAUGAAGAUGCCGUAGCCUUUAAACAAAAACAGAGAGAAGAACAGAAAGCAUUAAAAGACAUGGCUGACAAAGCAAAAAAAGGACCAUUAGGUACAGGAGGUAUAAAGAAAUCUGGAAAGAAAUGACGAAAAAGUCUUAUAAAUUAUUACAUCAUCUCCAAUCGACUUUUAUUAUGUCAUUCUACAUCAGAACACUCAUCUUCUAUUUGUCAUGGUGAAAGUGAAAUGUGAAAAGACGUUCUAGACAAUUUUACAAUAUUAAUAUUACAGUUCAUUGCAUUUUAUUCUUUAAAAUAAAAAAUUAAAAAAAAACCCCAAA